GACGUAGGGCGCGAGCGUUGUCCGGAUUUAUUGGGCGUAAAGAGCUCGUAGGCGGCUUGUUGCGUCGGCUGUGAAAACCCGCGGCUUAACCGUGGGCUUGCAGCCGAUACGGGGCGGGCUGGAGUUCGGUAGGGGAGACUGGAAUUCCUGGUGUAGCGGUGAAAUGCGCAGAUAUCAGGAGGAACACCGGUGGCGAAAGGGCGGGGUCUCUGGGGCCGAUACUGACGUGAGGAGCGAAAAGCGUGGGGG
rnacentral:rRNA from 1 species